GGCAGGUUGCCCGAGCGGCCAAUGGGAGCGGACUGUAAAUCCGUCGCUUACGCCUACGCAGGUUCGAAUCCUGCACCUGCCACCA
rnacentral:tRNA from 1 species